GACAAGGCAUCGCUAUGCAGUGCACUAACUAAAUAUAUUUCUCUAUAUUUUUUCGUCUAUUUAUUACUAAUUACUACUUAUUAUCGGCUUGUAUUUCUUAAAUGAUCUGUGUAAUUUUGUGCUGGUCCCAGUAAUUAAGUCAACUGCAUUCUCUUUGAUCCUUUUUCAAAAAAUAUAAUUUUUUACAAAAUAUUAAUCAGUGUGGAAGACAAUUUUAUCAGCUAUGUCGUGUCCUCUAAAGACUGUCCUUCCUUUGUAAUUGACAUGUACAUACGAAUUAGGUUCCCGCUGCAAGUCCCCUUGUGCAACUGUGUGGAUAUUGCUUUUGCCAUUCGUUUGUGCUAAGUUGUUUUGUACUUCCCUUUUUAAACGACUAAGUUCUGUGUAUCUUCCCUACCGCCUACUCACAUUAGAUUUUCAUAUAUGGUUAAUAUAGCGGUUGCCAAAUUAUUGUCAGUGUGAAAGUCGGAGACCGUGCUCCAAGGCUCGUCCCUGAAAUACUUUUUUCUACUCCAUUUGCAAUUUUGUGUUAGUUAUCCCAAGUUCAUCCCUAUUGGCUUCGUCUUAUAAAACUAAAAAGAAAUAUUAUUAUUUUUUCACCUAAUUUUUAUCGUGGUUAUAGAAAGUGCACAUCGGCUUAAGUUUCACGGUAUUGUAUAUUGUUGAAAAUGACAUAAAUUGGGUGUAAACCUUACUUUGUCAUAGUUAUAUCGUUGAUCAGUUUGUAUUGUAAAGUUUAGCACUCCCUGUUAUAAUUGGUCAGGUUAUCCCAGGCAUGUGAUUUAUCUCUGUGUAGGUUCUUAAUUUUACCUUGAAGAAUGAGAUGAGCAUAAUCAAACAAUAUUAAUGUUUUAUAGAUUUCCCCACUGUUAUUUAUUUGUGUCUAUAAAUUAUUCCGUUUCUAAAGAAGAAGAAAAGAAACUGAUGUUUCUGUUGCAUGUGGUUUUCAGACAGGGAACAAUGUUCUUUUCAAGAUGCAUGUAUCAUGUAUGCUCAGUAACUUUGAUCUAACAAAUUAUAUUGUGCACUAAAGGUAUCUGCAUUUAUUUAUUAUUUGCAAGAUCUGGCACCUACAUUAUUAAUAUGCUGAAACACAAUAUUUGUAUUCUGAAUUUCAAACAUUCGAGCACAUUCAAAUUAUAUUACAUAUAGUGACUAUAAAACUCCAUAGGUUGUUAAUUGGAUUAUUGCAAUGAUUUGAGGUAGCUCAAACUUCCUGGAUAUCGAAGGGAUUUCUACUACAGGAGGUUCAAUCGAACAAAGAAAGAGCCUGCUGGAGAUGCAAAAUUAAUUCUCCCUGGAGUGGAACAGUUUUAUAUAAUUAUAGCAUGAUUGUCCUCACGAAAAUAUGGAUUUCCAUAGUAUAAAGGUCAAGGAAUGUGUCAAUGGAGUGCUGCCGUCAUCCUGGUCGCAGUGGAUCCCAUGCCGCCCGAGACGGAUCAUGUGGCACUACCAUCCUGAGCGCACUGCAUGUGGAAAUCAAAUAGAAGACCCAAUUUAUUGUAUACGUCAAGCUCAGGCGAGCUGCUGCUGAUUCUCCCUUCUCCUAUCAGUGCCUGCAUGAAAGAUGAACUUAAUUGUUUGAAACGUAAAGAAUCAUUUCUGGCCGGCCAGAGGCCAUGAUGGACCCACACGGUGAUGGAGGGGAGGCCAUGGGCGAGCGUUUGAGUGGGCCCACAAGAAGCUGCAGGGCGAUGGAAGGGCAGUGGCCGAGGAUGGAAGCAGCGUGGGAGAUGGAGGAUUUACUCCACACCUUCAUUUCGUCCGCAUCGAGCUGUCCCGCAAAGGAUUUAUAUUUUUAAAUGGAGGGAGGGAAUAGCAAUAAAAUUUCACACAACUCAACUAUGUCUAGAUGAUAGAUGCAAGUGGCAUCUUCUUGAUGUGGCUGAACAUGCUGAUGCGCUCCUAGAUGGUGUGCCUUAUACCUAGGAUCUUAUGUGAUGUGUGUCACAAUCUGUCAAAGAUGUGGCAGCCUGGCAGGUGCAGCUGACAAGAAAAACAACCCUUACACUGUACAAAUUUCAGCUUCACAUUAGGUAUACAUGCUGAAUUUGAGUCUAUGAUAAAUUGUCGCUGAGUCUGUAUUGUCUAUCAUCUGAUUGUUCCAAGUUGUGAUUUGGCGUUGAUUGUUGUGUGAUUUAGUUUUCAUGAAUGUUGCUUCCAGGUGCCACAAACCAUUGAUAUUUGUUUGCUUCAUAUUAUCUACAUAUCUGAGGAUUGUGUUCCUCACUUUUGUUGUGGUAUUGUACAUAUAAAUCAAGUGUAUGAUGCAAUGGUUGUAUAUGUGAGUGCUUUUGCUUCA